rnacentral:rRNA from 1 species
CAAUAGCGUAUAUUAAAGUUGUUGCAGUUAAAAAGCUCGUAGUUGGAGUUCAGAGUGAGCUCGUCCGGUCGGCCUUAUGGGUCAGAACUGGUUGACUCUCUCUUGUUUGUGGAUCCUGUCAGCAGUUAACUCUGUUGAUGUGGAGUCCACAUCGUUUACCUUGAAAAAAUUAGAGUGUUUAAAGCAGGCUAUUGCUCUGAAUACAUUAGCAUGGAAUAAUGGAAUAGGACUUUGGUCCUAUUUUGUUGGUUUUCGGGACCGAAGUAAUGAUAAUAGGGACAGUUGGGGGCAUUCGUAUUUAAUUGUCAGAGGUGAAAUUCUUGGAUUUAUGAAAGACGAACUUCUGCGAAAGCAUCUGCCAAGGAUGUUUUCAUUAAUCAAGAACGAAAGUUAGGGGCGCGAAGACGAUUAGAUACC